rnacentral:rRNA from 1 species
GAUGAACGCUGGCGGCGUGCUUAACACAUGCAAGUCGAACGAAGCACCUUAUUCUGAUUUCUUCGGAAUGAAAAAUUUGGUGACUGAGUGGCGGACGGGUGAGUAACGCGUGGGUAACCUGCCUCAUACAGGGGGAUAACAGUUAGAAAUGACUGCUGAUACCGCAUAAGACCACAGCACCGCAUGGUGCAGGGGUAAAAACUCCGGUGGUAUGAGAUGGACCCGCGUCUGAUUAGGUAGUUGGUGGGGUAACGGCCUACCAAGCCGACGAUCAGUAGCCGACCUGAGGGGGUGACCGGCCACAUUGGGACUGAGACACGGCCCAAACUCCUACGGGAGGCAGCAGUGGGGAAUAUUGCACAAUGGGGGAAACCCUGAUGCAGCGACGCCGCGUGAGUGAUGAAGUAUUUCGGUAUGUAAAGCUCUAUCAGCAGGGAAGAAAAUGACGGUACCUGACUAAGAAGCACCGGCUAAAUACGUGCCAGCCGCCGCCGUAAUAC